rnacentral:misc_RNA from 1 species
AAAUGCGAUAAGUAAUGUGAAUUGCAGAAUUCAGUGAAUCAUCGAAUCUUUGAACGCACCUUGCGCCCCUUGGUAUUCCUUGGAGCAUGCCUGUUUGAGUAUCAUGAAAUCUUCAAAGUAAAUCUUUUGUUAACUCAAUUGGUUUCUACUUUGGUAUUGGAGGUCUUUGCAGCUUCACACCUGCUCCUCUUUGUUCAUUAGCUGGAUCUCAGUGUUAUGCUUGGUUCCACUCGGCGUGAUAAGUUAUCUAUCGCUGAGGACACUGUAAAAGGUGGCCAAGGUAAAUGCAGAUGAACCGCUUCUAAUAGUCCAUUGACUUGGACAAUACUUUUAUGAUCUGAUCUCAAAUCAGGUAGGACUACCCGCUGAACUUAAGC